rnacentral:rRNA from 1 species
AGAGCGAACGCUGGCGGCAGGCCUAACACAUGCAAGUCGAACGAACUCUUCGGAGUUAGUGGCGGACGGGUGAGUAACACGUGGGAACGUGCCUUUAGGUUCGGAAUAACUCAGGGAAACUUGUGCUAAUACCGAAUGUGCCCUUCGGGGGAAAGAUUUAUCGCCUUUAGAGCGGCCCGCGUCUGAUUAGCUUGUUGGUGGGGUAAUGGCCCACCAAGGCUACGAUCAGUAGCUGGUCUGAGAGGAUGACCAGCCACAUUGGGACUGAGACACGGCCCAAACUCCUACGGAGGCAGCAGUGGGAAUCUUGCGCAAUGGGCGAAAGCCUGACGCAGCCAUGCCGCGUGUAUGAUGAAGGUCUUAGGAUUGUAAAAUUCUUUCAACGGGACGAUAAGUGACGGUACCCGGAGAAGAAGCCCGGCAACUUCGCGCCAGCAGCCGC